AUGACAGAAAUUGACCACAGUGACACAAACAGUAAAAAUACAAACAAAUUUGACAGCGACGGACGGCUGGCCACACACACUGGCGCCAUCUUCAUCAAUUCACUGAUUCUACUGCUGGCCACCCUGGGGCUCCUUGUUCAGGAUUCAUCAGGAGAAAUCAUCCUGACUCAGUCUCCUGGAUCUCAGUCUGUUGUUCCAGGACAGACUGUCUCUCUCAGAUGUAAAGCCAGUUCAAGUGUUAGCAAUGAGGUGGACUGGUACCUUCAGAAACCUGGAGAAUUUCCCAAACUCCUGAUUUAUUAUUCUACAAGUCGUCAGUCUGGAGUUUCAGAUCGUUUUACUGGUAGUGGAUCUGGGACUGACUUCACUCUGACCAUCAGAGGAGUUCAGACUGAAGAUGCAGGAGAUUAUUAUUUUCAGCACUGUAAUGGCUUUCCGUUCACACAGUGAUACAACGUUGUACAAAAACCUCCCUCAGCUGGAGAGGAACUGAUCUGAAUCAACAGCUGCAGAGAAACUAUAACAUGUUAGACGACAGCAACACUUUCAGCAUGAAAAAUACAUAUAUUUAAAUACCCCUGUUUUAGCUUCAUUACACUGGCUCCCAGUAUGUUUUAGA